UACGAGGGGGGCGAGCGUUUGUUCGGAAUUAUUGGGCGUAAAGGGGUGCGUAGGCGGUUCCGCAAGUCCUGUGUGAAAUCUUCGGGCUCAACUCGAAGUCUGCACGGGGAAAACUGCGGGGGCUUGAGUGUGGGAGAGGUGAGUGGAAUUCCCCGGUGUAGCGGUGAAAAUGCGUAGAUAUCGGGGAGGAACACCAGUGGCGAAGGCGAUCAUCUGGGGUUGUUCUGACACUGAGGAGCGAAAGCUAGGGGAGCAAACGGG
rnacentral:rRNA from 1 species